rnacentral:rRNA from 1 species
GUGGGGAAUAUUGGACAAUGGGCGAAAGCCUGAUCCAGCCAUGCCGCGUGUGUGAAGAAGGUCUUCGGAUUGUAAAGCACUUUAAGUUGGGAGGAAGGGCAGUAAGUUAAUACCUUGCUGUUUUGACGUUACCGACAGAAUAAGCACCGGCUAACUUCGUGCCAGCAGCCGCGGUAAUACGAAGGGUGCAAGCGUUAAUCGGAAUUACUGGGCGUAAAGCGCGCGUAGGUGGGUUUGUAAGUUGGAGGUGAAAUCCCCGGGCUCAACCUGGGAACUGCCUCCAAAACUGCAUGACUAUAGUACGUUAGAGGGUAGUGGAAUUUCCUGUGUAGCGGUGAAAUGCGUAGAUAUAGGAAGGAACACCAGUGGCGAAGGCGACUACCUGGACUGAUACUGACACUGAGGUGCGAAAGCGUGGGGAGCAAACAGGAUUAGAUACCCUUGUAGUCC